CUACGAAGGGCGAAAGCGUUACUCGGAAUUACUGGGCGUAAAGCGUGCGUAGGUGGUUGUUUAAGUCUGUCGUGAAAGCCCUGGGCUCAACCUGGGAAUGGCGAUGGAAACUGGGCGACUAGAGUGUGGCAGAGGGUAGGGGAAUUCCUGGUGUAGCAGUGAAAUGCGUAGAGAUCAGGAGGAACAUCCGUGGCGAAGGCGACUGCCUGGGCCAACACUGACACUGAGGCACGAAAGCGUGGGGAGCAAACAGGAUUAGAUACCCUGGUAGUCCACGCCCUAAACGAUGCGAACUGGAUGUUGGGUGCAAUUUGGCACGCAGUAUCGAAGCUAACGCGUUAAGUUCGCCGCCUGGGGAGUACGGUCGCAAGACUGAAACUCAAAUGAAUUGACGGGG
rnacentral:rRNA from 1 species